rnacentral:rRNA from 1 species
UCCAAUAAUUUAUCAAAACCCUUUUUCAGUACUAAAUGACUCCAUAACCUUAUGGAAAACCAUAUGCUAGAACUAGUAACAAGAAGAAGACCUUCUCCAAAAUACAAGUGUGAGCCGAAAUGAACAACUCACCGGCAUUUAACGUAAAUGAGCCCACAGUAGCAACCAAACAAGAAAACCCUACUCAUUUCUACGUCAACCUUACACCAGUGUAUUUCUGGAAAGAUUAAAAGAAGAGGAAGGAACUCGGCAAAUUAUUAACUCCGCCUGUUUACCAAAAACAUCGCCUCUUGACAAAAUAUAAGAGGUCCAGCCUGCCCAGUGACAAAGUUAAACGGCCGCGGUACCCUAACCGUGCGAAGGUAGCGCAAUCACUUGUUCUUUAAAUAAGGACUAGUAUGAACGGCAUCACGAGAGUUAUACUGUCUCCCUCUUUCAAUCAGUGAAACUGACCUCCCCGUGAAGAGGCGGGGAUAUAAUUAUAAGACGAGAAGACCCCAUGGAGCUUUAAACUCAGUAUCAAUUACCUAAUUAUACACCAUUUUAACCUGGUAAAUAUGACCACUAGUUUUCGGUUGGGGUGACCGCGGAGUAAAAUAAAACCUCCACGAUGAAAGGACCAAUCCUCCUAAUCAAAGAGCCACAGCUCAAAGAAUCAAUAAAUUGACAUAAUUGAUCCAAUUAAUUUUGAUCAACGAACCAAGUUACCCUGGGGAUAACAGCGCAAUCCACUUCAAGAGCUCCUAUCGACAAGUGGGUUUACGACCUCGAUGUUGGAUCAGGGUAUCCCAGUGGUGCAGCCGCUACUAAAGGUUC